rnacentral:tRNA from 1 species
CGGGGUGUAGCGCAGUUCGGUAGCGUACGUGCUUUGGGAGCAUGGGGUCGCAGGUUCAAAUCCUGUCGCCCCGA